UCCCUAGUGCGUGGCGACGGGAGACGUGU
rnacentral:sRNA from 1 species